rnacentral:rRNA from 1 species
AUGAACGCUGGCGGCGUGCCUAAUACCUGCAAGUCGAGCGAACAGACGAGGAGCUUGCUCCUCUGACGUUAGCGGCGGACGGGUGAGUAACACGUGGAUAACCUACCUAUAAGACUGGGAUAACUUCGGGAAACCGGAGCUAAUACCGGAUAAUAUAUUGAACCGCAUGGUUCAAUAGUGAAAGACGGUUUUGCUGUCACUUAUAGAUGGAUCCGCGCCGCAUUAGCUAGUUGGUAAGGUAACGGCUUACCAAGGCAACGAUGCGUAGCCGACCUGAGAGGGUGAUCGGCCACACUGGAACUGAGACACGGUCCAGACUCCUACGGGAGGCAGCAGUAGGGAAUCUUCCGCAAAGGGCGAAAGCCUGACGGAGCAACGCCGCGUGAGUGAUGAAGGUCUUCGGAUCGUAAAACUCUGUUAUUAGGGAAGAACAAAUGUGUAAGUAACUAUGCACGUCUUGACGGUACCUAAUCAGAAAGCCACGGCUAACUACGUG